GAACUUGUUUCUGUGAAUCUUUAGAGCUCUGCCCCAUUUUAUAACUAUAUUUUUUUCCUGAUUCUAGAUCGUCCUUAUGUUAGAUGUGAUUCAAAAUGCAAGGCAUGAGUUAUCUUUCUCUCGGCUGCGUCUUGCCUGUUUUGGUCCACAUGAAAACUGCAAGUUUUGAAGACUAGAACUGGAAGGAUUUUCUGUCUUUAAGACCUGCUUGUGAGCCUUCUGAAGAUGGCAGGGCAAACCACUGUGAGGACGGAGGUGGAGGUCCUGAUCCCUGGAGCGGCUGAUGCCAGGCUGCGUGUCUCUGCUCAUCACUUGACAUGCCAGCCAGCAUUGUAGCUGUUAUUCAGCCGGGACCCCUAGCUAGAUCACGGGUACUUCAGAGAUUUGUCACCGUCAUUAAUUCAUCUACUCAUAGGCAAUAUAUGUGAAGAGCAGAAAAGCUGACAUUCCUCUGAAAUCCAGGUCUGUCUCAGCAACAUCCUCUCCUAUCCCUUACUGCCUGCUUCUGUCAGCUUUAGUUGGAGAUGCAGGUUUCAGUAUUUAACUCGACCGCGUGUACUGUCAAACACAAAUGAUAAAAACGUUGUGAGGGUGCGCUGCUACAAAGGCAGCCCAUGUUUUUUAAAAAAGUCUCAGAUUUAAAUACCUGUAGCAGUA
rnacentral:lncRNA from 1 species